rnacentral:misc_RNA from 1 species
AAGUCGUAACAAGGUCUCCGUAGGUGAACCUGCGGAGGGAUCAUUAACACGUUCCAAAACGUUCCAACCAAACUUCGUAAUGUGAACCUAUAUCUUCCCUGAAGUAAGAAAAUGAUUGCUGUUGUGGAUGGAAAUCUCGUGGUGGGUACUGCAUUUAAUAUGUAGUACGGUUUUCUCCGCAGCUACUGGGGCACUUUCGAGUGACCUCAAGGCAUUUCUUAUCUUUGGGAUUUUUUGACUACCACGGCUAUUUAUAACCCCUUUCACUUCGAUUCUGCUUGUCUUAUAUAGACGAUGCAAAUCUAUAAACAUUGACUGAUGUUUUUGCUGUUCCCAUGGGAAUAGUAAAGUUCAAAAUAGAACCAAAGCACAACUCUUAGCAACGGAUAUCUUGGUUCUC